AGUUGGUCUUCUCUGCCACCAAGAAAGAGCAGAAGAUUCUGCAACAUCCUAAGAAGCAACAGGGGAUGACUUAAUUGGUACUCCCACUGAACACUGACAAGAGAACUCAGAUUAACUGGAUGAACUUGUGGGGAAAAUACAGCAGAUGAAGAAAUUGAAGUAAAAACAAAAGUGGUUCACAGGCUAUCACAUGGUUAUUGGCUGGCAG